AUACGUAGGGGGCGAGCGUUGUCCGGAAUGAUUGGGCAUAAAGGGCGCGUAGGCGGCGCGGUAAGUCUGGAGUGAAAGUCCUGCUUUCAAGGUGGGAAUUGCUUUGGAUACUGCCGCGCUUGAGUGCAGGAGAGGUUAUCGGAAUUCCCGGUGUAGCGGUGAAAUGCGUAGAGAUCGGGAGGAACACCAGUGGCGAAGGCGGGUAACUGGACUGCAACUGACGCUGAGGCGCGAAAGUGUGGGGAGCAAACAGGAUUAGAUACCCUGGUAGUCCACACUGUAAACGAUGAAUGCUAGGUGUAAGAGGUAUCGACCCCUUUUGUGCCGGAGUCAACACAAUAAGCAUUCCGCCUGGGGAGUACGGCCGCAAGGUUGAAACUCAAAUGAAUUGACGGGG
rnacentral:rRNA from 1 species